rnacentral:lncRNA from 1 species
CAGGAAGAGCACACCUAGCUCGAUCAUCAAAAACCCUCCACUCAGUUAUGGCAUUGCAAUUCCGCUCUUUGCUCUUGUGUAUGGUGCUGCUGCUCCUUGGCUUUGCAUUGGCAAAUACCAAUGCUGCCAGGACAGAUCCACCCAUUGUUUGCGCAACUCUCAACAGGACCCAUUUCGAUACUCUUUUUCCAGGGUUCACAUUUGGUGCAGCCACAGCAGCUUACCAAGUCAGUGCAUUCUGGGAGCUUAAUUAAUAUUACUCAUGAAUUUGUUUUAAUUUUUUGUUUCAUAUAGUUACUUUACUUAGCAUGUGUCAUUUAUGAAUAUUGGCAUCUUCAUUCUGUAAAUCGUGUUUUAUAUGUAUAUCUGUAUGUGCAUUUCAGUUAGAAGGUGCUGCAAACAUAGACGGUAGAGGACCAAGCGUAUGGGAUAACUUCACCCAUGAGCAUCCAGGUCUGUUGAAUCAAACAAUCAAUUAGUUAACAAAUCUUCUAUUUUCUAUUUUUUUAGGUGACUAAAUUGAUGAUCAGUUACUUCAUUUCAAAAGCUAUAAUAAACAAGCCAAUGCUUCAUGGAAAUUAGUUAUUCUUCACUUACAAAGUGCUCAAUGGGAACUGCGCAGAAACUAUGACCUUACCCUAGAUCAAAGAAGAUAAUUAGAAAGUUGUAAAAAAUUGAAUAAGGGUAAUCAUGGAAAAUAAAACUCAAAUUUUUUAAUGUAUUAAUAUAUCAUUCAAAAAUGUAAUUAAGAGGAAUAAUACAUCGCACAUGAGAAGAAGUGAGAAGUUCCAACCAAGAUGGUUAGGUUGAAGGUUGCUAGCAUUCCCCUGUUUAAAUAUCUAGAUAGAUAAAUUACUUUGUAUCUUUAUUUAUAACUAAAAUUACAUUUGAUUAAUUGCAGAAAAGAUAACUGAUGGUAGCAAUGGAGAUGUUGCUAUUGAUCAAUAUCACCGUUAUAAGGUUUGAAAAUCACAUAAUUGUAUUAUGUAGACCUUCUAUAUUUGAAUUUGAACACUACGACAUUAAGGAUGAUAUCCUUAAUUUUUAGUUAUGUACAUCUUUUGUGUCAUUAUAGGAAGAUGUGGCAAUUAUGAAGGAUAUGGGGUUGGAUGCUUAUAGGUUCUCUAUCUCAUGGUCCAGAUUGUUACCAAGUAAGUUGAUCAUCCGCAUCCACAUAUAUUAUUGCGACCAAUCGCUUUAAUGUUUAACAUCUUUUAUUCAAUUUAAUUCCUAUUUCAUGAUAGGUAUUGGCUUAUAUUUUUCUUGUUUUGUUUUAAUUAUUAUUAGAUGGAAAACUAAGUGGUGGAAUUAACAAGAAGGGAAUCGAAUACUACAAUAAUCUCACCAAUGAACUCCUACGCAAUGGUGAUACAGCUCCCAAUCUCAUAAAAUCCUCCUAAUAUAACAACAGUACCUGCAGUUGUUUAAUCAAACUUCUAAUUUUCUUUUACUGGUCAUGCUAUAUAUAUAUAGGUAUAGAGCCAUUAGUGACACUCUUCCACUGGGAUGUUCCCCAAGCCUUAGUAGAUGAAUAUGGUGGUUUGUUAAGCCCUCGUAUUGUGUAAGUGGACAAAUUCCAUCCUUUGUAUAAUAUUGAUCACUUAAUUAUAUAAAUACUAUUAUAUACAAUAAAUACAUAUUUCAAUGUGUACACGCAGCGAUGACUUUAAAGCAUACGCAGACCUUUGUUAUAAGGAAUUUGGUGAUCGAGUAAAGCAUUGGACCACACUUAAUGAGCCAUAUACCAUUAGUAACCAUGGUUACACAAUCGGGAUCCAUGCACCAGGACGAUGCUCUGAUUGGUACAACCCAAAAUGCCUUGGUGGAGAUUCGGGUAUUGAACCAUAUUUGGUGACACACUAUCUACUCCUUGCUCAUGCAGCUGCUGUAAAAUUGUACAGAGAAAAAUAUCAGGUACUUCCGUUAGUCUUUUUUCUUUUUCUUUUAGAAAUUGAGGUCCAACGAGUAACUAGUAUUAUUAUGUAACAACAUAAGUGGGAAUACUUUUUAUUUUGAGAAAAACGACGGUUGUAAUAAUAUAAUUUUUUUUUUCUUUGCAUUAAAUCAACAAAUUUUUUAUUUUUUAUUUAUCUCUCUGGAGCAGGCAUAUCAAAAUGGUGUCAUAGGAAUAACUGUUGUAUCACAUUGGUUUGAGCCCGCUUCAGAGUCACAACAAGAUAAAGACGCUGCAUUUCAAGCUUUGGAUUUUAUGUAUGGAUGGUAAGUGUAUUAUUAAUUUAUAUAUCAACUCAUUUAAAUGCUUCAUUUUUGAAUUAUAACUUCGGUUAGGUAGCCUGUGGUAGUUUAUAUAAUGUUAUAAGUUCACGUUUGGAAUUUUCAUAGGUUUAUGGACCCAUUGACAAGAGGUGACUACCCGCAGAUCAUGCGAUCCAUUCUUGGUGCACGGUUACCGAAUUUCACGGAAGAACAAUCUAAGUCACUGAGUGGGUCAUAUGACUAUAUUGGAGUAAACUACUACUCUGCUAGAUAUGCAAGCGCUUAUCCUAAGGAUUAUUCUGUAACUACACCUCCAAGCUACCUAACAGAUGUUCAUGUUAAUGUUACAAGUGAGUACAAAUUGAAAAUUUCAAGAAAUUAAUGUAGUUCUCCAAAUACUUAGAUCCUAAUAUUCAUAUUCAUUUAUGUUGUAGCAGCUGAUCUUAAUGGGGUCCCCAUUGGUCCACGGGUACGCAAUAGAUUAUUAGCUUAAGUUAUUGGGAUUUUGAGAAUUAAUAGCUAUAUAUGCAUAUAUUUUGUUUUCCAUAUACACAUAAAGUGCUAAAAGUCUCAUUGAUCUUCAAAUGGGAUUGCAGGCUGCUUCAGACUGGUUAUAUGUUUACCCAAAAGGACUUUAUGAUCUUGUACUCUACACAAAGGAAAAGUAUAAUGAUCCAAUUAUGUACAUUACUGAGAAUGGUACGUAAUUAAUAUUUUUAAACAUUAAUUAAUUGCAUCAUCAAUGUUUCACAUUUAUGUAUAAUGGUGUAAAAUAAAGUGAAGUGUUGUAAACUCUAAACUUAAAACUAAAUGUACAUUUUUUCUUCGGUUAAACAAUUUGUAUGCAUUUGAUACUGCAUUAUAUUGCAGGCAUGGAUGAGUUCAAUAAUCCCAAAUUAUCACUCGAGCAAGCCCUUAAUGAUGGUAAUAGAAUUGACUACUACUAUCGCCACCUCUGUUACCUCCAAGCAGCAAUGAAGUAAGUUUUUGUCAACAAAUUAAUUAAGGCUAUAUAUGUUUUGGCCUUCUUACAUUUCGGUUAUUUAAUCACUAUAUUGAACCAAUUAUGUUCUUCUUCUUUUUUGGGUGUUUGUAGGGAGGGUGCUAAUGUGCAGGGAUAUUUUGCAUGGUCUUUGCUAGACAACUUUGAAUGGAGCGAAGGAUAUACUGUUCGAUUUGGUAUCAAUUAUAUUGAUUAUGACAAUGGACUGGAAAGACACUCAAAACUCUCGACGCACUGGUUCAAAAGUUUUCUCAAGAGAUCCUCAAUUA